rnacentral:rRNA from 1 species
UACGUAGGGUGCGAGCGUUGUCCGGAAUUAUUGGGCGUAAAGAGCUCGUAGGCGGCCUGUCGCGUCGGAUGUGAAAGCCCGGGGCUUAACCCCGGGUCUGCAUUCGAUACGGGCAGGCUGGAGUGUGGUAGGGGAGAUCGGAAUUCCUGGUGUAGCGGUGAAAUGCGCAGAUAUCAGGAGGAACACCGGUGGCGAAGGCGGAUCUCUGGGCCAUUACUGACGCUGAGGAGCGAAAGCGUGGGGAGCAAACAGG